rnacentral:rRNA from 1 species
UACGGAGGAUCCAAGCGUUAUCCGGAAUCAUUGGGUUUAAAGGGUCCGUAGGCGGUCAGAUAAGUCAGUGGUGGAAUCCCAUCGCUCAACGAUGGAACGGCCAUUGAUACUGUCUGACUUGAAUUACUGGGAAGUAACUAGAAUAUGUAGUGUAGCGGUGAAAUGCUUAGAUAUUACAUGGAAUACCAAUUGCGAAGGCAGGUUACUACCAGUGGAUUGACGCUGAGUGACGAAAAGCCGGUGGGAGAAACGGG